GCCUGGGUGGCUCAGUCGGUUGAGCAUCAGACUUCAGCUCAGGUCAUGAUCUCACGGUUCGUGGGUUCGAGCCCCGCGUCGGGCU
rfam:Felis catus isolate Cinnamon breed Abyssinian chromosome A3, whole genome shotgun sequence.